GGCUGGAUAGCUCAGCUGGUUAGGGUGUGGUGCUGGUAACACCAAGGCUGCAGGUUCGAUCCCCGUAAGGGAUCAGUUG